AUUUUCAACUAGGUUGAUUACAAUGUAGCAUGUUUAGAAGCUACAUGCACUUUAUCCGAAGAUAGUACAACUAAGCAGCCCUGAAACAUUCGUGCUACAGCAUGUAUACACUUCAUCCAGAAAUAUUACAGCAGCAUGUUACGCCAAUUUUCAACAUACUCAAAUAACAUAAACAACACAACAGUGAAGAACAAAAAAACCAGCAGUGAAAUAACAUAAACAAACCAGCUGCAGUAGCAGAAAAACUAUUAGAAAAUUCAGUUUUAAACAUAUAUGUAAUACUUAAAAGAAAGAAAGAAAAAAUAUAUCAGUCACAUCAGCCUCAUACCUCACUGGUGAUCAAAACUGUGUGCCACUCAAAAUCAUUUAGGAAUAACAAUAUCACUGCAAAAUACAUGUUACAAUUACAAUUGUCAAAUUAUCUUACGCCAACAGAAAGGAAGACAGCUACAUAGAAUGCACCUUCUUCUUGAUAUUCUAGAAACAUGUAUCAACCCAGAUAUCUAUUGGAAAGACAUAUACAGACAGGAAACAGGGAUGACAACCAAGGUAGUUAUUCUCUAGCAAAAAGGGGAGAAGACAUUGGUAUGCUGAGGGAAAAAACUGAAGAACAUACUGACAAUGAAAAUGAUAUCAAAAGUAUCAACACGAGAUGGCAAAGUGCUGUAAAGGUGUGCACCUAGCAUUGUGCCUUAGCACUGAACAAAAUAAGUGCCUCAAACCCUUUCAGACGAGACACAUCUUAAAUAGAUACAAGCCGAGUGUGCCUGAUCAUAUUUUUGUAAGGUGGUAUGUGCAAAAAAUCAUGUUAAUUGAAGUUUCGUAUGAUUUCUUCAGUUUUUUUAUUUUUUCAAUAAUUGUGCCUUUAAUGGUUAAGAGGAAAAGAAACUAUCAGACUCUACUUCUCGAUAUUUGAAUAUUUAAUAACAUGGGACCAAAUGGAAAUCAUAGGGCAACUAACAAAGAGUAGGGUAUCAUGAAAAUUUCGCAAGUUGGAAUAGGGAUUAAAAGAACAAAAUUACAUAGCUUACCGCUGCUUGUUGAAGUAGAUGCAAGGAAGGGGGAUCAAUACCCUUUUGAUUGAUAACAACAAAGUCGCUGUCAUUGCCAGCACAAAUCUAGAUUAAGGGUAACCAAAGAAAAUCUAGAAAAAAUCUAAGUUAGCCGGAUGAAAUAUAUAUGCAUAAACCCAAAACAAAUCAUAAACAAAUCGGCAGAAGAAGGAAAAGUAAAAGACUUGGGGGGGUUCCUUACACCGGGGGGGACUGAGUGAUCUGUAAAGAUUCCCGGGGGGGGGAGGGUCUUUUCUUUUAAUUAUUACAAAAAUUUAAAUACUUAAACUAAUUAAUAAUAGAAAAUAAACAUAAGGCAGAUUAAAAAAAAUAGAAUCUAAAUAAUAAUGAAUAAAUUUAAAACAAAUGAUGUGAGAAAGUAGUUCUAAGAAUCAACAAUAUACAACAAUUUAUAAAAUAUUUAAAUGUAUAUAUAUAAGUGUAAAAAUAAUAUUGAAACACUUCAAAAUGAAUAAAUAGAAUCUAAAAUAAAGUGUUUAAAAUAAUUUAACGUAAAAUAAAUCAUAUGAAUGAGACUAACAAUAAAUCAUACGUAACAUAAUAAUAUAUAGAUUAAGUUUUAAAAUAAACCUUGUGCAAGCAAAGAAAUAGUAUACAAAACAAUAUAUAUCAACAUGUCAAUCUAAAUAGAUAAUAAACGUAAAACACAAAUAAUUUAAUAUAAAUAACAUAAAUAAUAAUAUAAAGUACAAGUAAUUUAAUAGUGAUAGUAGUUUAAUAAUAUUCAUCACACAAAUCUUCACAGCAAAGAAUAUAUAUAAAAGAAAAUUUUAAUUAAAUAAACUACAUAAUAAAACAAUUCAAAAAUGUACAAAAGAAAAUAAUAAAAAGAAACUAAAGCAAUGUGAGAUCAAUAAAAUAAUAUGCUAUGAAUAAUAUAUUAAAAUAAUGAAUAAUAAGUAAUUCAUAAAAAAUACAAAAAUAUAAAUUAAAUAAAAACUUAAUUAGAAUAAAAACAAAAUUAGAAGAAUAAUUUAUAAAUAAAUCAAAUUAUUAAAACAGAAUCAAGGACCUGAAUUAAAUGCGCACAAACAAACAAACAGGGGCUAAAAAUGCAAAUAUCCCGAGUCCCAAAACGGGAAACGAUGCCGUUUUAUCUAUAUAUAUAAACUAAAAAUUGCCUUAAAAAAUCAUUUUUGCAGAUUGUUUUCUCAAAAGAUUUUUCAAAACCCUCUUAACCUCUCCCUCUUUAGUCGACUUGUGGCUUCACCAGCGCCUAAUGCACCUCCACCAUCGUCAUGGUUUUAACCAGAUCCACAAGGAUCCAUCAACCCUUGGACUGGAGGAGCAAAAGAUGACUCAAUCGACACCAAACCACCAGUAGUUAAACCCUUCCCCUUUUUUAGAUUCGUCAAAUAGAUUCAAAAUAAAGUAAAAAACAAAAAAAUAAGAACAGAGAAAUAAUCCGUGAAUCACCUUUUGUAGACCAUUUUUGAAUUGAUUUCUAUUCUUUCAAUAUAUGCGUGUGUAAUACAAUUUUUAUUUUAUUUCAAAAAAAAACCCCCCAAAUACAUUAGUCUUUCGUGCUUUUAUAGCCGAAAGUGUUACAAAAAUAUUUUGCUUUUCUUUGUUACUGCUUGUUGUUUUUGCUCGUUCUCUUUUUGCUGUUUGCAGGCACUGACGGAAGUGAUGGGACAGGCCCUAGCCAGGGGUGGUCAGGCGUUGAACGCGCUGACACCACGUGGGGAACGGUGCGGCGCAAAGGUGGAAGACCCUAGGGUUUUUUUGAAAAUGUUAACAUUCUGGGCCAUAGAAUUGGGCAUUAAGUUUUUGUUUUGGGCUGAUGGGGUUGUAAUAUUUGGACGGUUAAUAUUGGACUUUUAUUUUGUUUUUUUGGUUUCUAAUGGGCCGGGCAAAAUAGGCCUCUUACAGUGACUUUUUAUAAUAAUAAUUAUUAUUAU
rnacentral:lncRNA from 1 species